AACAGGACCUUCACCAUCCUCACACACCAGCACUGACUAGAAAUGGCAGCAGAAAUCCAGGGAAAUACUGUCAGGAACAUGUAUGGUAAUGCUAACGGUUUUACAAAGUGGACUGAGGAAAAAAGAGCUAAAUUCAAAGAAGAGAAGCUUCGUCAAAAUCCAGAUACACUUUUCAAAAUGUUUAUUCCAAUGCAUCCAUCCGAUAUGAAUAAUCUAGCUCGUCUGGUCUUCAGACCCACUAAUCCUGCUCCGUGGUUGACAUUAAUUGCAAAUGAGUAUCCAGAUCUCACUGUUAGGCAGAUUGACUACAGCGAGAUUGAAGAUCCAGUCCAAGACGAGCCAGUCCAAGGUGGACCGGACCAAGACGAGCCAGUCCAAGGUGGACCGGACCAAGACGAGCCAGUCCGAGGUGGACCAGUGAUUGAAAUCAACGGAAAUGUGACUGCAUUGCAAAAGUUUUGCACAGACUUUAAAAAAAAUCUGCAGAACAUUCAGAAUCCUGAAAUUCGGGAACGAAUGGGAGCACUUAAUAUAGGACAAUGAGACAAUUAUAGAAGAGCUGCCAAAAACAUGAGAGAUCAUGUUUACAGCUGAUGGGAACUUUUGAAGACAUCAAGAUCUGCUGCUUUUGACCAGAUUUAAAGCAAACCGAAUAUGAAUUUACUGUAUUUCUCUUCUCUGUCACAUUCAAGUCGGACAACUGUGAUUAUAUCUGACACAGAGUUGUUGCACUUUUUACUAUAGUUUAUAUUUCUCUGGGUGUGUUUAUUGAAAGUUAAUUUCUGGAUAAAGCUUGUAUUUCUAUAUAGUUUCUAUAUAUUACUUUCUAUGUAAACCUUAAAAUCUUGACUACAACAGAUAUAUCUAAUAGACAAGUUCACUGUUAACACACAUUAUCCUUUUGUGUAAAUGUUGUCACAGUGUAUGGGUUAAGCUGUCACAUUAAAACUUGCCAUAAACUAUUA